CCUCUAUAGUUCUCGGGACACCCUUCAGGAACUUAGACCUUUCUUUCAGUCUUUCUCCUGUCUGCCUCUCUCUGGGCCUCUCUAGCACACCUGUGCAGGGUAGUUCUUAGGUGUCAUAAAGAUGGGGCUCCCAGGAUGAGCUACCACUGUGGGCAAUUGCUUCUUUCCAUGGACUUGUCUCCUCUUGCCUGGAUUCAGCAGCCUAUCAGGCUGAGUCACAGACAGGGCUGCUGAAGGAACAAAUUGUACUGGCCUUUCCCCAGCAAGACUGCCUCACCCUGAAUUUCAGUAGGUCUUUUAACCCCUCCCAGAAUCUGUAGCCUUCCUGCCCAUUUUCCUGUUGACAAAUUCUGACUACCUGGCAUCCCGAUGCAGAAGGAACAUUCUAGGCCCUGAAGACCUGGGUUUUGUUUUGCCUUUUCACAAGCAAUCCUUAAUACCUCAAUUUUAGAAGUGUACUGUUUUCCUGCUGGAGGGAAGCCGAGUAUUAAAACUCAUUUUAGGUGGAGGACCCCAACAGCCCAACUGUCAGGGAGACUACUGUGAUCAGUGCUGUGUAGGAGGAGCUGGGAGGAAGGAUGUCACAUUCAAUUCAGAGUCCAUUAGGAUCCAGACGCUCCCCUGCAAUGACUUCCUAAUCCAGACAGCGCAUGCAAAACCGUACUCAUGUCUACCUGGCACCCAAAUUAGCGGCAUUAAGAGUUUGGCUUUGCAGAUGGAGAAAACUGAACUCAAGACUUGUUUGCUGGACAGUCCUGAGUGAAUCAUCUCUUCUCUUCCUCAGUGUGACAGAAUGAGAGUUUCUCGUCCGGCUGGUGUGGAGAUGAGGAAAACUUGCAGGACUUGUGAACGACAGCGGAAGCUGCAAAGUGUGGUGGAGAUCUCUGUCCUGCUGUUUAAGAAGUGGGCCUCCGAGGGUCUGAGCCUAGCCACCUAGAGGAGAGUGGUCUGGCCAUCAUAGAGUUCCUCAUGCCACAUCUCAUGAGCACUUACCUUCUCGUACAUAAAUAUCGGGCAGUGGAAUCGGAGCAUGUGUCCCCUGACUGGAAGCAGUGACAACCACGGCAGCAGGUUUAUUUUUAAAUAAAGAUUGGAAAGUUACAAGGCUCCUGA